ensembl:lncRNA
UCUUGGCAAAGGAGAAAUGCUCACUAACAGGGAGGCAAAUAAAUGUGCGCACAAAAUUUGAGAGAAAUAAGCUUUUUGUGCUUAUGGAGGAUUUCUGGGAUGUUUUAUUUCAGCUCAUGAAACAUGGGACCAACACUUUACAUGUUGCGUUUAUAUUUUUGUUCCGCGUAGAUCGGGUACACCAAUAUAAUUGACUGCUGAGGCCGUACCCCACAAUAGUCUAUUUUAGUGACCAAUCACUAAAAUAACUCGAUCAAUAACAUCCCCUUAUAUUCAGUGAAAUUAAGUAAGAUAUUCGUUUUUAUUUUUCAUAAUUUUAGAUAUUCUGUACUUGUAUAAUUGACAGUAUUUUUUUGGGGGGGGGGGGCUUUUUGGCUUGUCACUAAAUAGGCAGUAGCAAUGAUUGGACAGACAUGAAUAAUGGGAGCAUACACAUGACAGCACAGACCUGUAUGUACCUCAUUUUCUCUCGGAACCAAAGAGCCAGUUAUCGAUUGUACACACACGGAAUUCAUUAGGAUCAGACACACAGGCAAGAUGGCGGAGGGAGAUUCAUGGGGUAAGAAUCAACCUGUUUGUGGAAUAGCGUAUUAUUCAAGUUAUACCUAAAUCGUUGACAAUUACACAUAUCAGAGAUGAUAGUUUUAAGUUUGUAAAAUGUUUUGUAUCGUUGGUCUUAGAUGCUGACACUUUCGAUCCGGACGAGCUGGCGGCUAUCGGGACCAAGAAAACUGUUGUGGCGGAUAAAUGGGAAGGCGAGGACGACGAUGACGAUAUCAAGGAUAACUGGGAUGAUGACGAGGAGGAAUUAAAAAAAGCAGAAGUGAAAAAAGCAGGUAUUUUUUUUUUUAAACCACAUGAAUUGAACCAGUGAGUUGUGACUAUAUUAAUUUAAUACAAGCUCAAUAUUUUUAUAUCCCCCCCCCAUUUUGUCUUUGUAGCAGAGACAAAACUUUCUGAAAAGAAGAAAUUAGCUGAAAAAAUAAAAGAAAAGGAAAGUUUACAAAUGAAAAAACAAGAAGAGCUGAGAAAGCGGGUAAGUGUUUUUUUAAGGUAGGUGUUUUGCAUGCUAUGGCGUACAUCCAUUAUGGCUAGUCGUCACCAUAACCAACCCAUCUACUGCCACAGUGAUUGCUAGUUUGCUUAUCAAAAUUCAGCAGAAACUUGACCUUUUUGCUUUCAGCCAAUAUCCCUGAUUAUUUGAGUUGUAUUUAUCAAAUUUAAAAGUUUUAUUUUAAAUUUAAUUUUGGUUUAGGUCCAUAUUAGGAAACAAACUGUAGUGUAUUUCAUCUGCUUUCCCAGACCCAGUUGAAGCCUCUAAAAUCAGCACUAAGGGAUUUUACACUGUCCAUGAAUGACAAGUCAUUGGCUGCUGGAUCUGAAAGUAUAUUUCUUUGUUUGUUUGUUUGUUUGUUAGUUAGAGGAAUCACAGGAAGCAGAACUCUCACCGGAGGAUGAGCUUGCCGAGAAACUCAGAGUGAAGAAGUUACAGGAGGAAGCUGAUCUUCUAUUGGCUCAGGAGGCUUUCGGUAAGAGACCUGUAUUACAGGAGGAGGUGAAAGUCUCUGAAUAAG